AAGUCGUAACAAGGUCUCCGUAGGUGAACCUGCGGAGGGAUCAUUACUGAGUGAGGGCUCACGCCCGACCUCCAACCCUUUGUGAACACAUCUUGUUGCUUCGGGGGCGACCCUGCCGGCACUUUGUCGCCGGGCGCCCCCGGAGGUCUUCAAACACUGCAUCAAUGCGUCGGAGUUUAAAACAAAUUAAACAAAACUUUCAACAACGGAUCUCUUGGUUCUG
rnacentral:misc_RNA from 1 species